CAGCACCUCAAGUGGUCAGGAUGAUUAUUGGGCCUAAAGCAUCCGUAGCCGGCGCUGUAAGUUUUCGGUUAAAUCUGUACGCUCAACGUACAGGCUGCCGGGGAUACUGCAGCGCUAGGGAGUGGGAGAGGUAGACGGUACUCGGUAGGAAGGGGUAAAAUCCUUUGAUCUAUUGAUGACCACCUGUGGCGAAGGCGGUCUACCAGAACACGUCCGACGGUGAGGGAUGAAAGCUGGGGGAGCAAACCGGAUUAGAUACCCGAGUAGUCC
rnacentral:rRNA from 1 species